AGAGUUUGAUCCUGGCUCAGGACGAACGCUGACGGUGUGCUUUAGGCAUGCAAGUCGAACGAGAAAGCCCUUCGGGGUGAGUAAAGUGGCGAACGGGUGAGUAACACGUGGGCAACCUGCCCCUCGCAGGGGGACAACCGGAGGAAACUCCGGCUAAUACCCCGUACGCUUGUGGGAUCGCAUGGUCCGGCAAGGAAAGGUAGCUUCGGCCAUCCGGCGAGGGAUGGGCCCGCGUUGCAUUAGCUAGUUGGUGGGGUAACGGCCUACCAAGGCGACGAUGCGUAGCUGGUCUGAGAGGAUGAUCAGCCACACUGGGACUGAGACACGGCCCAGACUCCUACGGGAGGCAGCAGCCAGGAAUCUUGGGCAAUGGGCGAAAGCCUGACCCAGCAACACCGUGUGGGCGAUGAAGGCCUUAGGGUCGUAAAGCCCUGUUGAUAGGGACGAAGGGCGAAGGGUUAAUAGCCCUUAGCUUGACGGUACCUUUCGAGGAAGCCCCGGCUAACUACGUGCCAGCAGCCGCGGUAAUACGUAGGGGGCGAGCGUUGUCCGGAAUUAUUGGGCGUAAAGAGCGUGUAGGCGGUUCGGUAAGUCUGCUGUGAAAUCCUGGGGCUCAACCCUGGGCGUGCAGCGGAUACUGCCGGGCUAGAGGGUGGUAGAGGCGAGUGGAAUUCCGAGUGUAGCGGUGAAAUGCGCAGAUAUUCGGAGGAACACCAGUAGCGAAGGCGGCUCGCUGGGCCACACCUGACGCUGAGACGCGAAAGCGUGGGGAGCGAACAGGAUUAGAUACCCCGGUAGUCC
rnacentral:rRNA from 1 species